rnacentral:rRNA from 1 species
AUUGAACGCUGGCGGCAGGCUUAACACAUGCAAGUCGAGCGAGCGGCGGACGGGUGAGUAAUGUCUGGGAAACUGCCUGAUGGGGGGGGAUAACUACUGGAAACGGUAGCUAAUACCGCAUACCAUCAGAUGUGCCCAGAUGGGAUUAGCUAGUAGGUGGGGUAAAGGCUCACCAAGCCGACGAUCUCUAGCUGGUCUGAGAGGAUGACGUGCCACACUGGGACUGAGAAACGGCCCAGACUCCUACGGGAGGCAGCGGUGGGGAAUAUUGCGCAAUGGGGGCAACCCUGACGCAGGCAUGCCGCGUGAAUGAGGAGGGCCUUCGGGUUGUAAAGUUCUUUCGGUAGCGAGGCGUUAACUAAAGAAAAAGCACCGGCUAACUCCGUGCCAGCAGCCGCGGUAAUAC